rnacentral:rRNA from 1 species
GGUAGCGAAAUUCCUUGUCGGUUAAAUACCGACCUGCAUGAAUGGCGUAACGAGAUGGGAGCUGUCUCAAAGAGGGAUCCAGUGAAAUUGUAGUGGAGGUGAAAAUUCCUCCUACCCGCGGCAAGACGGAGAGACCCCGUGGACCUUUACUACAGCUUGACACUGCUAUUUGGAUAAGAAUGUGCAGGAUAGGUGGGAGGCUUUGAGUAUAUGACGCCAGUUGUAUAUGAGCCAUUGUUGAGAUACCACUCUUUCUUAUUUGGGUAGCUAACCAGCUUGAGUUAUCCUCAAGUGGGACAAUGUCUGGUGGGUAGUUUGACUGGGGCGGUCGCCUCCCAAAUAAUAACGGAGGCUUACAAAGGUUGGCUCAGAACGGUUGGAAAUCGUUCGUAGAGUAUAAAGGUAUAAGCCAGCUUAACUGCAAGACAUACAAGUCAAGCAGAGACGAAAGUCGGUCUUAGUGAUCCGGUGGUUCUGUGUGGAAGGGCCAUCGCUCAUAGGAUAAAAGGU